GCAGGAUUGACACUAUCCCGAGAAAAAAGAUUACUUCAAGAUGGUCUGAGGAGAUAGAUUAUCAACCAGAAGAGAAAGAGGCCUAUUUCGAGGAAAGAAGAAUUCAGUAUUCGGCUACUCAUCUCUCAAGAGAGGAUGCUGAAUAUGAUGAUGAGAUCAGAGAGGACUAUGCAGAUCUUCUCUAUCACCCAUUUUCUUCUUAAUGAGUGUGAGGAGUCAAGCUAGAGACUUUAAACAAGCUCACUUGGGAGGAAUUCCCAAGACUGUUUCUGUAAAUAAAACUUUUAUUUUCUUGUUAUUUUUGACUUGUUUUUGGUUGUGUUUGUGAUUCUCAGGAACAGAGAAACAGCGUGGAGGUAGAGUAAAAAUUUAAAAAUUUUUACUCUACAGAGCAACAGGGGAUCGAGUAUGUCAGAAAUUCAAGAGUUUGAAAAACUUCUGUUGCACUAAGAGGCCAUGAGGUCGAGUAAGUUGGUCGAGUAUUAGUGAUGAUUUUAAAAAAC
rnacentral:sRNA from 1 species